CGAUUGAGACCAGUGCUAGUAAUUCGAUUAUUUGUUUGUGUUAAGACAUCUAAAUCCGAAAAUAUGAGUUUCGAUCUCAAAUUUAUUUUCCUUCUAAGUCUCUUUGUGCUUGCCGUAAGAAGCGAGGAGGAGGCUCCGAAAUGUACAGGAAGACAAGAGUACUUCCCUAGUACUUCCGAUUGUACUAAAUACUGGCAAUGUACUCCUACUGGUCAACCAAUUUUACGUGAAUGUCCGGAUGGGCUUGUGUUCGACACACUUAAUACUAUGUGCAAUCAUCGAAACGUUGCUGGUUGUAAAACGAAUUAAUCCAAAUCAAUGUAUCAAAUGCUUUUCUUGAAAAAAUGUAUCUAUAUAAAUAAAAGUUAGCAUGCA